GAAUUCUGUUGAGGAAACUAAUCAAAGUGAUUCAAUAAAAACUUCUGAGAAUUCUACAGUUCUUGAAGAAAAAACUAUAUUUGAAGAUCCCUUAAACUAUACUAUAGCACAUCCCCUUCAGUAUUCUUGGGCUCUCUACGUGGACAUUCCUAGCGGAGAAAUAAAUUACGAGAACUGGUUGGAAAAUGCUAAAAUAAUACAGCCAAUUGAUACUAUUGAAACUUUUUGGGGUGUCAUGAAUAACUUAAUGUUUGCCUCUGACUUACCCGAUAAAGGAAGCUUCCAUUUUUUUCGUUGCGGCGUUGAGCCCAAAUGGGAAGACCCCGAAAAUGCGGGUGGGGGGAGGUGGGCUCUUACUUGUGACAAAAGAAACGUUGACUAUCUUUGGAUGCACACAAUGCUUUCUUGUAUUUCUGGGCAAUUUUUAGAAAAUUCCGAGUUUGUGAAUGGCUGUAUCUUAACUAUGCGAAAGCUCAGCAGAGUUGCGUUGUGGACUAAAAACACUAACAAUGAAACGCUUCAGAAGCAGAUUGGUGCACGCUGGAAGCAGUUAAUGAACUAUCAAUCUCCUGUUUCUUUUUCUCCACAUGAAACGACACAGAAAUUUUCUGGCGCUCGAGGCCCCCGAAAAAUAACUGUUUGAUUUGUUUUGAAGAAAAAAAUUUUAUUGAAAGUUAUUAUA